GCUUACGGCCACACCUCCCUCAGCACGCCCGAUCUCGUCUGAUCUCGGAAGCUAAGCAGGGUCGGCCCGGUUAGGUACUUGGAUGGAGACCGCCUGGGAAUACCAGGUGCUGUAAGCC
rnacentral:rRNA from 1 species